rnacentral:misc_RNA from 1 species
UUAACUUAUUUUGUUUUUCUCAGACGACACUAAACGCGGAGUUGGGGUCCUCUGGCGGGCGCGCCCCGGCCGAAGCCAGGGGCCCCCGAGGGGGCGGCCCGCCAAAGCAACGCAAGUAAAUAACACAGGGUGGGAGGUCUACCCCGGAGGGCAUGAUCUCUUUAAUGAUCCUUCCGCUGGUUCACCAACGGAAA